rnacentral:rRNA from 1 species
UAACUUUCAACAACGGAUCUCUUGGCUCUCACAUCGAUGAAGAACGCAGCGAAAUGCGGUAAGUAAUGUGAAUUGCAGAAUUCAGUGAAUCAUCGAAUCUUUGAACGCAGAUUGCGCCCUUUGGUAUUCCGAAGGGCAUGCCUGUUUGAGUGUCUU